UUGGCAGCUGCUGGGCCCACGCGCCGGUGGCGGUUUCUUUUUGAAACAAAAAGCGGUAAACGGCCGUGAGCGAGACGGCGGGAAACAGCGGGAAGCGCGUGUCUGAGAAAAGGAGGAGGUGGAAGAGGACGAGGAAAGGGAGUCCAGUCCCACAGAGAGCGGCGGGAGCUGGGCGGAAGUGAAGUCGGAGCGCAAAGCCUGUCGGGAAGGUAUGCUAGAGUUUAUCUAGCACUUAAAGUGGAAGAUGGACUUCACUAUUACAUUCCU